rfam:Xenopus tropicalis strain Nigerian Chr04_contig_1337, whole genome shotgun sequence.
UCCAGAUGCAGGUCAGCCACUGACUAACGCACAUUGCGCUGCUCCUAAAAUGCCACUGUGCGUGUGACAGCGGCUAACCAGCAUCUAGGAAUAACUUGG